CAGCCGCCGCGGGAAUACAAAGGGUGCGAGCGUUAAUCGGAUUUACUGGGCGUAAAGCGUGCGUAGGCGGCUUCUUAAGUCGGAUGUGAAAUCCCUGAGCUUAACUUAGGAAUUGCAUUCGAUACUGGGAAGCUAGAGUAUGGGAGAGGAUGGUAGAAUUCCAGGUGUAGCGGUGAAAUGCGUAGAGAUCUGGAGGAAUACCGAUGGCGAAGGCAGCCAUCUGGCCUAAUACUGACGCUGAGGUACGAAAGCAUGGGGAGCAAACAGGAUUAGAUACCCCUGUAGUCCCUGUCUCUUAUAC
rnacentral:rRNA from 1 species